AGGACGAACGCUUGCGACGUGCCUAAGAAAUGCAAGUCGAACGGGGUCAUCCUUCGGGGUGGCCUAGUGGCGAACGGUCGCGUAACACGUGGGCAACCUGCCCUGAAGCGGGGGACAACAACUCGAAAGAGUUGCUAAUACCGCAUGUGAAUCGUGGUGGCAUCACCGAGGAUUCAAAGCCUUCGGGCACUUCAGGAUGGGCCCGCGGCCUAUCAGCUAGUUGGUGAGGUAACGGCCCACCAAGGCUUCGACGGGUAGCUGGUCUGAGAGGACGAUCAGCCGGAUUGGGACUGAGAUACGGCCCAGACUCCUACGGGGGCAGCAAUUAGGAAUCUUGCGCAAUGGGCGAAAGCCUGACGCAGCGACGUCGCGUGAAGGAUGAAAUCUUUCGGGAUGUAAACUUCUUUUUCGGAGUAAGAACAAAUGACGGUACCCGAAGAAUAAGCCCGGCUAACUACGUGCCAGCAGCCGC
rnacentral:rRNA from 1 species